GCUCCCAUGGCGUAGUGGUCACUGCACUCGCCUUGCACGCGGGAGACCCGGGUUCGAUUCCCGGGGGGGUCA
rnacentral:tRNA from 1 species